UGCGUAGGUGGUUUCUUAAGUCAGAGGUGAAAGGCUACGGCUCAACCGUAGUAAGCCUUUGAAACUGAGAAACUUGAGUGCAGGAGAGGAGAGUGGAAUUCCUAGUGUAGCGGUGAAAUGCGUAGAUAUUAGGAGGAACACCAGUUGCGAAGGCGGCUCUCUGGACUGUAACUGACACUGAGGCACGAAAGCGUGGGGAGCAAACA
rnacentral:rRNA from 2 species